rnacentral:rRNA from 1 species
UGGCGAACGGGUGAGUAACACGUGAGUAACCUGCCCUUGACUUUGGGAUAACUUCAGUAAACUGGUGGCUAAUACCGGAUAGGAGCUCCUGCUGCAUGGUGGGGGUUGGAAAGCUCCGGCGGUUGUGGAUGGACUCGCGGCCUAUCAGCUUGUUGGUGGGGUAGUGGCCUACCAAGGCGGCGACGGGUAGCCGGCCUGAGAGGGUGACCGGCCACAUUGGGACUGAGAUACGGCCCAG